GAUUGGGGUGGUGAAUAUCGCAAAUUAAAUAAAUUUUUUUGAAACCAUUGGCAUUCACCAUCGCCUAA
rnacentral:sRNA from 1 species